UCCAGCAAUCAGGCCAUAAGUUAAACUACGUAUUAAAAUCCAUUAGAAUCCCAUAAUGGAGUUUAGUUCAUGAUUGAACCAAAAGCCAAUAUGGGAUCAAAGCAACGUAUGGAAAAUAAACAAACAAUUGAAAGAGAGAAGAUAGUAUUGAUCAAACCCAAUUGUUGAUUACAAUCCCAACAUAAUGUUCAAAUCCUCACUAAUAUCCAGCAACAUAAAAGUAGUUCAUCCACAAUGAUUGAAAAUCUAAAGAAGAAGGAGAAGAUAAUAAGUUUAUGCUUGGUUCAUCAAUGGAAAUCUCUCAAAGUGUAAAUCCUAGUUCUGUUCUGAAAAACACGUAAAAACUAAUGAAAGAUAACGUCUGGUACCAACCAGAAUAGUUUUAACCCACUCAAACUCUUACAAUUUAAAAAUUAAAAUAAAAUUAAUUAGCAGAUGCAGAUGUCGCGCGCAGGCGCGCGAGUUCCAUUUGUAUUCAUCGCGCGGGCGCGUGAGUAUAAAAUCUUCUCAGUCCAGUUGCUGCGCGGGCGCGCGUGUUGAAGACUGUAUAGCCGCAUGGCCGCGCGGCUUCUGCAGUUUGAAUCCUUUGCUCUGCUGCUGCUACUGAUUCUUUGCCAUGCCACUCUUGCUCUUUUGUUCACCACUGCUUAGCUUCUUUUGUCCACUCGAUCCUCAUAUUGUGCCUUCAUUGAUCACAUGCCAUCUCAUGCCAUUUCCUCCACUUUUACACCAAACGAGUUCUCAGUACAUGCACUGCAAAAUAUUAUGAAAUGCAACUAAAAACACACUAAAAUGUACUUUUGAUGGGCAUAGUUCUCGUGAAUUGAUAUCCAAUAAGUAGGUAUAAAACCCACUUAUCAGCAAUACGACACUAAAAUGCCCCCAAACUUAAACUAGACAUUGUCCUCAAUGGCUGAAAUAGAAAAAAGUAAAGCAGAGGACUUCCCUGAAAAUAUAGCAAUCCUCCUAUUUGUUCGCUAAGUUUGGAGAAUAGAUUAGGCACAUGGAAUAAAUUGGCACCACACUUGAAUUAGACUUGAAUAACAUUUUCAUAAUCUUCUACCUAUCCAUUAAACCUCCAAUACCUGCAAUUAAAAGAGACAAUAUGGAUUAGAAUAACACUUGGAUUGGUAAGAGAACUUAAUAAGCAAAUUAAUUCCUAUCUACUAAAUAAACUAGUAAAGCAUAUAAAUAUAAAAAUUCCUGGGUUGCCUCCCAGUUAGCGCUUGGAUUACAGUCUUUCAGCCUGACUUUUUCUGGUCAAUGUUAUCCAAUUCCUCUUCGAUAAUUGAGGAACCCUCCAUCCAUCGGAAAUAAUAUAGCUUUUGGUAAGUUCCCAUUUGUGAUGGCCAAUGCAUCAAAGUCACCUAGCAUGCUCUGAUUUGGUAUGAUCUCAAUCAAGAACGUCCCACAGCUAGGUGUUUUCUCUAUUGUGUAAGUGAUCACUUUGGGGCAGGGAAGCUUGUCACACACAAUGGACUCUUCGUCUAUCUUCUCUUUCUCGUCCCACCAUGGAUUCAAAAUUGUACUCACUCUUAUGUCAUCAAGAGCUUCGCCGACGACAUGACUACCAAGUGGGCAUUGUGGCGACCCCAAAUCCGGAUACUUGAAACCCGAACUCGGUUCUCCACGAUACCAUUUCUUUAAGCUGAAUAAUACUAAAUAAUAAUACAUUCGAACUUAAUUUACAUACAUCAAAGUUUACUUCCCCAGGUACGUGACCUUCAAAUACAUUCCUUACAAUACUUGAAUAGAUACCAAUACAACUAUAACCAUUAACUCAUAAUACACACUUAUUCGAUCAGCUUUCCUUUUCCUUUGUUCGUGCCUGAGCCUUCAGGUUGCUCAUACAUAACUGAAAACAUUUAAUUUAAGCAAGGAUGAGCAUUUGAGUGCCCAGCAAGUAAUAGCAAUUAUAUAUAUAAGCUGAAAGAAUAUAAGUAUUCUCUUUACAUAACACUUCUACAACGAAUCAAAAGUUGUGAAGUAAUCUGUACUGAUAAAAGAUUCACAUAACAACUCUCUUUCAAUUUCUUGAAAUUAGGCUCCACCCAUGAAUAGGGUUUAAGAAACAUACUAUGAACAUUGUUUUUCAUUUUCGAAAAGGUUUAGCAGAAAUUCAUCCGCAAACCGUCAUAACUUACGGGCACGGAGGGUGAUCAGCCCCGUUGUACCCUGUAUUGAUCAAUACUACAUAACUUGAACGAAAUUCAUCGCUCACCCUUUGUCCGCCGAAGCGCAUAAAAAUUUUCCCAUUAUCGGGAUGUUCAUACAUGCCUGGUUCCAAACCCGAAGGUUUUUAAUCUUGCUCAACAAUAAUAUGUAAUUCAACAUAUAUGUAUACGGGUAAUUGACAAAGGUAUAUCAACAUGUGAAUAAAUGCCAUGAUUAUCCAAGUGGGGACACUUGUAUAACCAUUUAGAAAUCAACUUAACAGAAUAUAUAUCUGAGCUAACAUGUUGAUAAUCAAAGCGUACAUAAUCUGUACAGGAAUAGAAUAAUUCUGAAACUUCUUACUCAUGUCCAUUGCAUAAAGGAAAUGCAAAGGUAAGAUACUUGCCUGAUUCGCUGAUUACAAAUCUCAACUUAGGUUUUAUCUCUUUAUCACAACCU
rnacentral:lncRNA from 1 species